rnacentral:lncRNA from 1 species
GUGGCUGGUUCUCAACUCAUGCCUUCCUUCCCUGGCCACCCAAUUAAAGGCACACGGCCUCUUCCAUUCACUCUCAAUCACAUCGCCCUGUGGCAUUCUCCUAGCAACACUUUUCACAGAAAGAAAGAAAUGCUCUCAUCUCUUUCUUUCUCUCAUUGUUAUUUACAUUCCCUGGCAUGUAAGCUUCUUAAGAGAAAGGCUCUUGUUUGUCUUGUCCCCCCACUGUGCACUGUGGUUCUAGCAGCUAACACAGCAUCUGACUUGGAGUGGCUGCCCAGUACGCAUUUGAAGAAUGAAUGAAUGGAAAGUGAAUGAGCGAAUGGCUGGAGAGUAGAAGACGUGAGGGAUGGGGAAAGAAGAAAGACUGGAGAAGUGGGCAGGUGCCAGGCCUGGAAGACUGUACGUGGUGCUAAGAGGCCCCUGAAGGUAAUGGAAAGCCAAUCAAGGGUUUCUAGGAGGAUGUGAUGAGGAUGCGAUAAGGUAACACUGUGUUAUGUUGUUGGGAAUCAGUGAAGGUGGGAAACCUGGAACCCUGGAGAAAAUGAGUGACAACCAAAUCCUACGUUUGUUUGGUGUUUCCCCAUCAUCCCUCAAAGGGUGUGUAAGAUAGUGAGCCAUGUAGAAUAAGUAAUUAAUUAAUGCUGCGGGUUAAUAAGGGGUAGAUGACUCUCAAUUGCUACAUGCAAGCUGUUAUUUUCUCAUUUAGAAAAAGGAUCUUGUGGCUCACUGUGGAAAAUCAUCUUCCAGAAAAAAGAAAGAGACAUGUAUGUCGGCUCUGUCUAGAAUAUUUUCUCUGAACCAGAAUCUCUUUCCGUAGGGUAGCUGCCCUUGGCAACUCUCGGGUUACAAGAAGCUGGGCAGGAGAUUCCUGUGACAUUUCAGCAGAGUCACGAGUGGGUGGGAUGGGGAAGCUCCGAGCUGCAAAAUAGCUUGCAGUGCCUCGGAGAGGUGGCGCUGGCUAGCCUGGGACUUCCAACAUACAGCCUACAUUGAUGGCCUGAGACUUGUGGCAAAAAAGACUUUCAAAAUCUAAUUUGCUCACAUACAUGAACACCUGCCAGGAAGGAAUUUGAGGCCUUUGUUCUAAACAUGGAAAAGCUGAGUUCAUUUGCCCCAGAGGGGGCACCUGCAGGGAAAAGGAAAAAUGGUUUUAACCCUUUCCUUGAGUCAGAAAAUGAGGCCACCAGAUUCUCCUUUCAUCCUUCAAGUAUCAGAAAGGUCUGUGCUGUGAAUUCCACAGAUGAGAUUCAUUGCAAGAUGUGAGGGCAGAGGAAAUCCAUGGAAAUGAAAUCCACAUUCAAACUGGAUGCAUGCGUUCAGCAACUGGAAGCUGAGUUCAUAUUUCAUUGCCCAACUACCCUGACCACUUGGGAAUCGCAGGUUUGGAAGGACCCACAGCCAUUCUGUGGAAAUGGAUCUGCUUUCAGGACCGAAUCUCAGACUUCUUGGGGAAGGUUUCAGUGGCUGCCUUUGCUGUGCAGACCUGGAGAUGGGUCUGAUGAUCGGACACCUGAAUUAUCUGUGUGGCUGAGUUUCAAGAAGACCUGCUGGGGUGAAAUGAAAAUGGUGCCUACUAGAAGCCCCAGUGGCUUUGCUGGUGGAGGCUAGCUUGCUCAUGUCCUCAUACAGAAGCAGAGAUGCAAGCAAGUGAGAAGGUGGAAGGACUCAGGUCUUGGGCCUUACUCUGAGAACUAUAACACCAUUCCUUCUGCUGCAUUCUCUUGUCUAAAUGACAUGGAUGAAGCUGGAAGCCAUCAUUCUCAGC